CCUACGGGGGGCAGCAGUGGGGAAUAUUGCGCAAUGGGCGAAAGCCUGACGCAGCGACGCCGCGUGAGGGAUGAAGGUCUUCGGAUCGUAAACCUCUGUCAGCAGGGAAGAACGGUCACUGUGCUAAUCAGCAGUGAAUUGACGGUACCUGCAAAGGAAGCACCGGCUAACUCCGGGCCAGCAGCCGCGGUAAUACGGAGGGUGCGAGCGUUAAGCGGAAUUACUGGGCGUAAAGCGCUCGUAGGCGGUAUGUCAAGUCAAGGGGGAAAUCCCCGCGGUCAACGUGGGAACUGCCUUUGAAACUGGCAAACUGGAGUGUGUGAGAGGAUAGUGGAAUUCCAGGUGUAGGAGUGAAAUCCGUAGAUAUCUGGAGGAACAUCAGUGGCGAAGGCGACUAUCUGGCACAUAACUGACGCUGAGGAGCGAAAGCGUGGGUAGCAAACAGGAUUAGAUACCCGAGUAGUC
rnacentral:rRNA from 1 species